UUUUGGGAUGAGCACUGGGUGUUGUAUGGAAACCAAUUUGACAAUAAACUUCAUAUAUUGAAAAAAAAUAAAAAUAAAAAAAUAAAACUGCCUCGUAUUGUCCAGACUCCAUGGGAUCCAGGGCAGCACUAGACUAUUCCCAGUAUCGCCUUUAGCCCUGGCAAAUCAUCUCUCUUUUAGCUUCAAGCAAAACCCCCUUCCGUUUUGGACACUGCGUUCUGUCCAUACUACCAUCUAACCUUAUUCUGGCUGUCAUCCAAACUCCAAAUGUGUUGAGGGUUUGGCAUCUGGAUCACAGUCUUCCAAGUCAUGCCAUGAUCCUGGGUGACUAUAGUAUCUACAUAGAUGAAAAAUUCAACAUUUUAGUCUUAAAUCUUCUUGAACUUCCCUUAAAUCUUCUUCAGCUACCUGAAUGGCUGCCUGCUGGGCUCUGAAAUCUUUAACAUUGUCUUUACCCCUAACCUUCAGUCACCCAAACCUGACACACUGCUUCAUAUUUCUCUUCCCUGUACUUUCCUAUUCUCUUAAUUCAGUUCUUCCCUGCAGUCUAAACAUGACAAAAUCCUUUCUAUAUAAAAAACAGCUUCAUCCCUGAUCACAAGUCAACCUCUAGCUGUCUUUUAAUGUCUCUUAUUCCCUUCUGAGUCGAAUGCCUCAUAAGAAUUAUCUUAAAGAUUUUUUUUUUGUUGUUGUUAAUUUGAGUAUGGUUCACAGGCAUGUUACAUCAGUUUCAGGUGUACGACAUAGUGAUUUAACAUCUCUACAGGUUGCUGUGUUCACCACAAGUGUAGCUACCAUCUGUUAGUAUACAAUGUCAUUACAAUUUCAUCAACUAUAUUCCCUGUAGCCGUGCCUUUUAUUUCUGUGACUUGUUCAUUCUAUAACUGGAGGAUUAUCCUUAUUUUCUGCUUUGACUCAUUCUUUGGGAGUCAGGCAACUGAUUCCACCAAGUCAAUGAAAUUGCCAUUUCUGGCCAUCAUCUAAUUAUCCAAUCCAAUGGACUGCUUUCAGACUUCAUUAUAGUUAAUCUCUCUGCAGCAUUUGACUCUCUGUGGUCAGUUUUUCUUCCUUGGAUUUUCUGGCACAGUUCUCUCAGGGUCAUUUCAUGAUUUCUUUCCAGUCUCCUUUGCCAAUUCCUCCUAUUUCCACCCUAAAAUGUGAAUGAUUCAUUUUCCUCUUCUUUUUGUGUGCUCUUUGCAUGUCUCAUUCUCUUCUCUGACUCCCAUCUAUAGGCUGAGGAUUCAUGAAUUCUAAAGGGAAGUGAAUGAAUAAAUAAUUACUUUCUAAACAAUACAUAUUGUCUCAGGAAUGAUUUAAAACUGCUAAUAAGGAUACAGGAAAAUCCAACUGAGAAGCAAAAAAUAAGUAGGAGACAAAAGGAACAAAUUGAAAUAAGGGAGAAAACAAAAUGUCACCCAGGAGGAAUGAGGCUAAAUAUGCUAUAAGUCCCAAAUUUAGUCUUAAGCUUUUCAGAAACCAGUGAGAAGAGGGUGAAAUCUCAUUAUGGUUAUGCAAUCCAAAAUGCCUGUAAGAUAGCAGUUGUUUAGAAAUCCAACCAUUGGUGCCACUGGGUGGAAAGCUCUCAGGGGUGGAUGAGGAGGCCUCCAAAGGACAUGAAUCAAAUCUUCAAUGUCAUUAUUCCAAAAGAUAAACUCAUAAGUUCCCGGGGGCUGUUUUAUAAACACGUUCCAUUUAGACAGUGGCAUCAGGGUAAGAUUCAAUUUAGUUAAAGCAGUUCUGUGACAGACCAGUAUAAUAUGGUUUAUGUUCCUAAGGAAAUGUUUUAGAGAAUCUUGAAGAUGAUUUUGUCUUGCAAGCAAUUGUCUCAUAAAACAGCUUUUGACACCUAUUGAGGAUGAGAUUCUACUCUGUGACAAGUAUUUAAUCUAGCAAACUUGUAUUUCUAGUUCUAAUCUAAACACUUGGUAGUUAUCUGCACCUUGAUAUCCCACAGGUAUCUUGGUUUCCAAAACUGCACCCAUUAUUCCCUCCAAACUGAUUUUUCCUAUGCUCUGACUGGGAAUAACAUUAUGCACCCAGUCUCAUCAAGAAAUCUUGAAGGCAUCCUAGACUUUUGUUUCUUUCCCCCCUUGUUCCUCACACUCACAAAAUAACCACAUCCUUCUGAUAGACUCUCCUUAUAUCUUGUGUCUCUAUCCUGCCUCCUAGCUUCACUGCCACUGUUUGGGUUCCUUCGGGACCUUAUUACUUGUCUGAACUACUACACUAUUGUAUUAUUGUCGUCCUUGGUCAUAGUCUGGCCCUCUGUCCCCUGAUCCAGUUUCCAUCUGAUUCACCUUUGUGCUUCUGGCAUUACCACAGCGAUUAGCACACGGCAGGCAAGUAAGGUAUUUUUGUUGGAUGAAUUCAUAUAUGGAUGAAUGAAUGUACACACACGUGGGUCUUAUGAGAGUCAUUAUUAUAAUGCUCCUUUCUGGGGCACCUGGAUGGCUCAGUUGGUUAAGCGUCAGACUCUUGAUUUCAGCUUGGGUCAUGAUCUCACAGUUGUGGGAUCAAGCCUCAUGUCGGGCUCUGUGCUAGGCAUGGAGCCUGCUUGGGAUUUUCUCUCUUUCCCUCUCUCUCUCUGUCCCUCCUCCUCUCUCUCUCUCUCUCAAAAAAAAAAAAUAUGCUCCUUUCUAAUAAUAGGAGAAUCAUAUCUACUCAUUCAUGCACCAUCAGGAUUAAGGCAAGUAUUUGUGUACAGUGGUAAGAAAUUAAAUGUUGUUUCACAGAUUCUGAGUUUUUUUUUUUCUUUAAUCUUUCCUAUGGGCAAACACUUGAGGAGGAGACCGAAGAACUCAAUUCUCACGUUAUUGUUAGAAGAAACUCCAAGAGAAGCCUAAAGAGGAGAGGAGGAGAAGGAGGUGGAGAUGAGCAGCUGUGUAUCCACCAACAGCCUGGAGGUGGGAGGUGAAGGAUUGACUCAGAAAAGCAGUCAAGAUUUAAUUAAAGACCCAGGCGUGGAGACGCUCAUGUGAGGGGAAGAAAGAAGACUCACCUGUAACUGCCUGGAACCGUGUACUAAUCAACAGAGAAGAUCUCCUGGAGGAAGACCAUUUACUUAAGUCUCUUAAGUCAUGGAGCCAUCCACCCCUUUCUCCUUAAGGGAAUAUCUCUUACUUCCUUUUGGCCAAGGGAGAAGAGGAAAGAAAAAGAAAAAGAAGAGUGAACGAUAGCUUCAAGACUAAAAUGACCACGAAAAAAGAAGAUGCUGGCUAUGCAGCAUGGAAGAAAGCCAUUGGAUGAUGUGUUUCCUCCAUUCACCUAUCCCACUUUCUCUUUCCAUUUUCACCUCAAUUGGAAGAUUGGAGAGGCUGAGCAGUAAAUUCUGAGUCCCAGCACCAGGUAAGUUUUUCUAAGAGGAAAGUAGUUUAUCUUGCUCCAUAUGAGUUUCUUGUGACUCACAGGCUGUACCAGGACUAUGGAUGAAGGUAAUAUAACUUAGAAGUUAAGAACAUGGUGACUUGGAGUAAGAUGAAUUUGAUUUGAAUUGCAGCUCUUCCACUUACUAACAAUAUUGCCUUGUUAAGUAACUAACUUUUCCGAACCUUACUUUUAUCAUUUUUAAAUGGAAAAAAAAAACCAAGAAUUAAAUGAGAUGUCUUUUAAAGAGUGUUCAGUAUUGGUUCACUAUUGAGCACUUAACAAAUUGAGCUGGUGCUCUUCGUACUACUAAUACUAUCAUUAAAAUUUUCAUAAUACUUGUUUAGUUAACUAGUAGGCAGGCUGGCAUGCUGGACUUCUGGAAGAUGAAGAGAGGGAGAACUUGCAAAAAAUAAUUAAAAACUAUUAUGCCUAAGAUUCUCAGCUUUCUACUAAAUGAUGGCUGUUGAUUACAUUGUCAUUUUAAAAUAUAACAUCAGAGCAUUACUGUAUAGAUACUACAACAUCAUAAAAUUUGGUACAUCUUGACCUUAAAUAGUGCUACACUGGCUCAAGGUAUUCUUUGACACUUACAGCAUGCAAUACCAUUCCUGAAUCCCAACCAGGGUGAUCAAAUCUACAUAUUUUAUUUUUUCAAGAAUAAAAAUACCACCAAAAAACCUUAGAGCACCACUGGGUUGGAGGAUCUAGAAAUUUCCCCUGAUAAGCAUGUAAAACAUAAAAUUCAGUGGAUGGGCAGCAGAGAGUUAUGAAACACCACCAUAGACUGUGAAAAAAUAAUAUCAGGGGAAGGCUAGCUGAUUCAUAUGACACAUUUGCUUUUUAUCAAGAUUUCCUCCGAUUAAGUAUAUGGUGAUGAUUAUUGUAAACAUCCAUUUGAUAUUGAAACAGCUGUUGGCAUCCUGAAGGAACCAGCCAUCGCUCCCUCCACACUGUGCCUUUCCUGCCCUACUGCUCUGUUUUGUUUUUGAAUCUAGACUCAUUACAUUAAUAGCUCAAAACCUUCUCAGGCGUGUUAAAAAUAGAUUGUAAGAGAAUUGAAAGCAGUGUUUUCCUCCUCCCUCCCACUCCUUUUCUCAACUGUAAUAUAAUGGCACUCCUCAGAAACAGUCCACGGAAAUCAGGAUUUUCUCAGCGGCUUGUGUGGGAAAUGGAGACUAUUGUGAGCAAGCGUUGCAGCCCACUGCUUGUCAGGAAGUGGUUUUUAGAACCAUUAAACGAACACCUUCCAUUGUCUACAGAGGUUGAAAGUCCAAUGAAAUCUCCUUAUUUCUAUUUCUAAACCAACUAGGUGACGGUUAAUACAUUUAACCCUUUCUAUUCUAGAGUCUCAGGUUUAUUGAAGGCUUUUUCUCUCAGUGAUUUUUAACCUUUUUGGAUUCCUGGACUCCUCUGAGAAUCCAGUGGGAUAGUUCACUCCUGUGUUCAUUUUGCAGGGGAUCUUUGUUCUUCCCCUGUUCCCACCCCUCAUGUGGAGUUGUUCUGUAGCCCAUCUGAGAAAUUAAUGAUCAAGGGAAAAGCUCGAAAGAAGAGAAAGCAAGACUCUCCCUUCUCCCACGGCAGUCCAUUGCAUGUUUCUCAUUUUUCUCUGCAAAUUUACUUUAAAAAAAAGGGAGGGGGCUGAGUUCUACUGACAAUAAUUUUAAAAGCUGUUAAUCAUUUUUAUAGUCUCAUUUAUUAAAGUGAUAGUUUAUAGGCUUAAUUUUUCCCUACCAUAAUAAAACUACAAAAUGAACAUAAAGGUGUAUACAAAAGAGUUAGGCCAAGAGGGUAGAGAAGGAAUAGGCUAUGUUUAACCUGGGCAUUACUGUUGUUGCACUCUCUAAACAUUUGAAGGGCAUUUGUGGAGAUGUAGCAGCCACUUAAUUAUCAUUUUAUCUUGCUUCGGAAGGAAUUUGCAGAAGAAGGUUGUUUUCUUUUUGAAACCUGUUUUGAUUAUAUUUAAGAUCCUAAGAUUUUGGUGUUUAACAAUGGAAUUGGCUGACUUAGAAGAUGAGGAGUUGGCUGUCAUGGGCAUAUUCAAGACAAGGAUGUUGCAGUAUCUGACGGGAGUAUUAUAAAAAGCAUUUCUGUUUUCUGUGGCUAGAUAACCUCUACGGCACAUUUACAUCAGAAAUUCUGCCAAGAAUUCUACCAAGAAUUUAAGUGGUCCAUAGAAAGAAAAUUUUUGAGAUGUCUUUUCUUUCAUUUUCUUUUUCCCUGUGGAAGUACACCCAAGAGAAUGGUUUUAAUUAGUGCUGAGAUGGAGUUUCGGCUUUCCAGUAUCACUUAUUUUCUGUGUGGCCUUGGAUAUCUAUAUCUAUGAUGCUCUUCCAUGAGAACUAUGUCCUCUUUUACAAUAUCUUGAACAUAAAAAAAAAUGUUGUAUUAUCCACUGGGAAUUGAUUGCUGUCGUUUAGGGAGAAUGAAACCAUAGUCUGACAUUCAAGGAAAGAGUACGUUUGAAUUAACUGUCUUAUCAAGAACUUUCUGUCAUUUUUUUUCCUCAAGCAUGUUCAUUAACUACUAUUUGAGAGUUUAUACUUAAAAUUUUGCUUUUCUCAUCUAAAACCGUAUUAUCUGCUGUUAUUUGUGUUGAAUGUAUAAGCUGUGAAUUGCCAGAUUGAGAAAAUGUGAUAACAUUUAACAUCCAGUAUUACUUUUCAAACAAACUCCUUGUGACAAAGGCUCUGCACAGUCUGGGAUUCCUUAUACUGAAAUUUUCUGACAGCCCUAACUUUGGCAUAUGUAUUAGUCAGCUCAGGCUGGCAUUACAAAAUACUAUAGAGUGGGUGGUUUAAACAAUAUCAAUUUAUUUUCUCACAGUUCUGGAGGCUAGAAGUCUGAGAUCAGGGCGUUAGCAUGGUCAGGUUAUGGUGAGAGCUCUCUUCCUGGAUUCCAGAUGUCCCCCUUCUCACUGUGCCUUCCCGUGGCCUUUCCAUAAUGCAUGUGUAUGGAGAAAGAGAAAGCGAGAAUUUUCCUCUUAUAUCUUCAGUCCUACCAGAUGAGGGUUUCACCUUUAUGACCUCAUUUAGCCUUAAUCAUCUCCUAAAAGCCCCAUCUCCAAGUACGGUCACAUUGGUGUUAGGGCUUCAACACAGAAAUUUGGGGAAGACACAAUUCACUCCGUAGUAGUAUAGCAUAUGUUUGUUCUGGACCCUGUGCAGACUUUCAGAUACAUAUAAAUGAAAGAAUGGGAAAGAAUUUCAUUAUAACAUGAUCUUACCUGUGAUCUACUCUUGUGACAUGGACUACAUAAAAUAUCCAAUAUAAUUAGGAUAGUUAAAAGUGUGUGUGUGUGUGUGUGUGUGUGUGUGUGUGUGUGUGUAAGAGAGACAGAGUCAAUAAGCAUUUUGAAACUAUUUGCUAAGUACAGUGUAUAGUCAGGGAUGAUAAUAGCUUUCCUCCCCUAUAAUAACAAACAAACAAAUACCAGACAGAUAUUUACUUUGCCCUCAGGGGGUUGGAAUUUAAUUGAGGAGCUAAGAACUAAAAACCAUCCAAAGGAAAAGUACAUUAAAAAGAAAAGCUCAUAUAUGUUAAGUACUGAGUAACUGGAUCAGAAAAGAAGUACAGUUAAUGUUCAGAGAUUCAUUGUGGUGCGAGAAGAUGAGGGAAGAUUCUGAUAUCAGAGGAUGUAUGACAUCAGAUGACAUAAGUGGAGAAGGAAGUUUAGGAUAUGGGGGUGGGGGGAUCAGAGAAGUUUCCUUAGAAGAGAUGAUGGCUCUCAUCUAGGGAAAAAAUUGGGGUAAGGGGAAGAGCAUUUCAAGCAGAGGGCACAGCACUAAAAAAGAGCACACUCAGUGUGUGUGGCAAACCACAAGCAGUUACCAUAACUGGAUGUGGAGGGUGAGGCACAGGGCGGAGAGAGAAGAGGUAGACUAGGUGCUCGGAGGUCAUAUCACUAAAGACUCUAUGGCCAUAAUUGACUCUACAGAUCAACACUGCCCCUUUCCUUUCUGUUAUCCCUGGUAGUUCAUACUGGCCUUCUCUGUCACAGGGAUUAUGGUAACAACUUCCUCUUCUAACCUCUCUCUCAUCUCCCCUCCACCCUGCUUAGAGAGCUUUCUAAAAGGCAGAUCUGAUUUUGUCCUUUCACUGCUUAAGUCCCUGGAACAAACCUACAUUCCCUAGGCCCUGCCUACUGCUUCGCUUUCAAUUCUUGCCAGAUUCUUCCUGUAACAGUCAGCUUUCUGUCCUAGCCAUACCAAAAGGCCUGCGAUUUUGUCUUGUCCAACCCUUGGUUAUGUUGCCACCACUGCCUGGAAUGACCUCCAUACCUACCUCCUUUUAACCCCCAGCUCAGAGAUCACCCUCUCCAUGAUGGCAUUCCCAACCCCCUUUGCCCCCAGGUGGAUCUGGCCAUACUCUUUUUUAUGCCUAACUUUAUCCAUAGGUGCAAAUACUAUUAUUGUAGCUUAGUAUGGAGAUGGAUACAAGAGAUGUUGAGAAAGUCAAAUCAACAAGAUUCAGUCAGAGACAGGAUGUGGAGGGAGGAAGGAUUUGGAGUCUGGAAUCACUUCUGGGUUUCUUUCAGAAUUAGAAUAUUGUAUGUCAUAGAGAAUAUAGAGCGAAGGAUUUGGAGAAGGAAAGACAAUGAUUUCCAUUUUGGUGAGGUUACAUUCAUGUUGCCUGUGGAGAUCCAAGGUGAGAUGAGCUACAGAUCAUCAGAUAUAUGUGCCUGGAAUGCAGGAAAAAGAUCUGGAGGUACACAUUUGGGAAUCAAUACACAGGCAGCAGGUAAAUCUUUAGGCAUGAGUGAGAUUAUUCAAGGUGAGACUAUAGCGUGAAAGGGGAAGAGGGAAGUGGAUGUGUGGUGACUGAGAAAGAAAGUAGGGUGGAAAAUUGCACCAUAUCAUUCUUCUUCCAUUUUCCCCAUCAUUUUGGCCCCUGGGACCACAAAGAUAACAGUGCAACUUAAUAAAAGCUCUAUAAACAGAAAAGAUAUGUUUGCUAUUCAGGCCCUUAGGCCACUCCAAGGUAAGUGAAAUGGUGAAUCUUAGAAACCUCCCUGUGAUCUAUCCUGACAAUGACAAUGGGGAAAUCUCUCUAACCUCAUCAUAUGUGAUUGUGUGUAAUACCAGUGUAUGUAUAAUUGUGUGUAAUACCAGUACAGUUAUAAUUCAAUAUUUAAAAAAUUAGUUAUAUUAAAUUAGGACUUUGAGUUUUGGAGCACUUCUGGUUAUUAGAACUUAAUGCCUUAUUUAGAAACUACUGAACAGGAAUACCUCUGAAUGUGAUUCUUAGAUAUAGCAAUUUCUUUUUCCAAGUUAAAAUGUGAACAAACACAUAGUACAUCUUACAGCAAGAGAAAAGUUAAGAGUGGACAUAUUAUUCAAAAGAUUAUCUGUUUUCGUUACCAAGAAGAAAGAAAUAUCUUUUUAGUCACAGGAAGAGAGAGUAUAGGGAAUGCAUGAUCAUAAUGUAUAGAUGAAUUAUGACAAAUGAAGGUGAUAGGAGAAUUCCCUUGAGUCAGGUGUGUGGUGAGUUAAAUCAUGCAAGCUAUCUGUGAUGGUUGACACAUGAUGAUUUGGUGCAGGCAUUUCUUAGUACUAAUAUUUUUCAUGCUCCCUCACACUUACUCAAACACUGCAGAACUUCCUUACCAGCAAUAAGAGGAGUUUUUAGCUUGCUAGAGUACUAUAUUUCACUCAGUACUGAUCAAUAGAAACAGUACCAUUUUCCGCAUCUGAGAUGUGAAAGCUGAUCUCCCUUGUCUAAGGCCCCGGGCAGGGGCCUACUUUUCUACAAUGGGUCAAUGAACAGGCGGGAGAGAGGGAGGAGGCCGCAGCUUCUCAGCUAGAACAGUUAAAUCAAUCUUGGCAAAUCAAGUAACAUGCCUCAACCAGGCUACUCUUAUCUCCAUGUGGUCAAUUAGAGAAAAAUCUCAUGAGGAAAGAGAAGAAAAAAAAAGAAUGAUGUAAUUUCUUUUCUAGCCUCCUUGGCAUGAUUCAUAUGAAUAUUCAUUAUUACACAUGGGAGGUAUAUAUAUUAUCAGAUCUGGGCUUAAAUAUAGAGGCACCUUUGUAAGGAAAGAAUAAUUCAACAUAAACUUUGUAUUUGUCUUAAGGAGGCAUGAAAUAUUCAGAGCUCAUAUAAAUUUGGGACAUAGGCAUAUGCCACACUGUUUUCAAAUGUUUAUUUUCUGCUCUAUUCCCAUAAUUGUCUAAUUUUGGCAGUAACUAUUUUUGUCUUAAAGUGAAAACAUGCUUUUGAUACAAGUAAGAAAAUUAUGUGCGGUAACUUCAAGUUAAUUUUAUAGUAAGAAAUAUGUAUUAGCAUUAGGUAAUAUAAUUAAUUUUUAUGAUUUUAUUUUUUAACUAGAAGUCUUUAAGAAGGCUAUGCUUUUGUCUUCAUUGCACUACUUAGUUAUUUUUAUAAAAACAAAGAUUUUCCACGUCACCUUUUCAAAUGUCUUAGGAAAAGAAAUUUUCAAAAGGAUUUUAAAGCAUUGACAAAUAUGUGGCAAAUUUUAUUUUAAGCAUAUUUUCAAAAUAUCUAUUUUACUGAUGAAUAAAUAGGAGAUAUUUAAAUGACAUUUCAAAGUUAAACUAGAACUAGAAAGAAAACUGGGACAUACUUUUAAGUUCUCUUUAACCCUGACCUAUCCUACUACAGACCUAUAUGUGAGCUCUGCUUGGAUGUCUAGUGUCUCUAUUUAAUAUGUUACAAGUGGAACCUAUCAUUAUUUUCUCCCAAACCUACUCCUUCACUACUCUUCUUCAUCUUGGACUGUGGUAUUACCAUUCAUCCAAUAACUUAGGCCAAAAUCUUGGAUUCAUCUUUUAUUUUCCUUCCUUCAUUUAUCCAUCUUUCAGCAAAUCCUGUUAGUUCUACUUCUAAAUAUGUAAAUAGAAUUUUUUGAUAUUCCAUUGCAUUCAACCUAGUGUAGGGCACCAACACCUCUCAUUGAGAUCAUUGCAGUAACCUCCAAAAGUCAAGUGUGUGCUAAGUUCAAUAAUUCAAGCUAUCUCAUUGUUAUUUUUGCCCUUCUACAAUCUAUUUUCCACUCAGUGGCCAAGUAGUAUUUCCUGAAACAAACAAACUCAGAACCAGUCACUGAUCCAUGUAAAAGUCUCUGCCUUUAGAAGAAGUCUUCUUAACCUGGCCUAUACACCCUGCAUGAUCUGUCCUCUACUUUUCCCCUCUAGCUCUGUCUCUUCUAUUCUCCCAGGAGUACAAGUACUUUCUUUUUUUAAAAAUUUUUUAAGUUUAUUUAUUAUUUUGAGACAAAGAUAGAGUGUAAGUGGGGGAGAGGCAGAGACAGCAGGAGAGAGAGAGA